rnacentral:rRNA from 1 species
UAGGGANUCUUCGGCAAUGGGGGCAACCCUGACCGAGCAACGCCGCGUGAGUGAAGAAGGUUUUCGGAUCGUAAAGCUCUGUUGUAAGUCAAGAACGAGUGUGAGAGUGGAAAGUUCACACUGUGACGGUAGCUUACCAGAAAGGGACGGCUAACUACGUGCCAGCAGCCGCGGUAAUACGUAGGUCCCGAGCGUUGUCCGGAUUUAUUGGGCGUAAAGCGAGCGCAGGCGGUUUGAUAAGUCUGAAGUUAAAGGCUGUGGCUCAACCAUAGUUCGCUUUGGAAACUGUCAAACUUGAGUGCAGAAGGGGAGAGUGGAAUUCCAUGUGUAGCGGUGAAAUGCGUAGAUAUAUGGAGGAACACCGGUGGCGAAAGCGGCUCUCUGGUCUGUAACUGACGCUGAGGCUCGAAAGCGUGGGGAGCGAACAGGAUUAGAUACCCUGGUAGUCCACGCCGUANNCGAUGAGUGCUAGGUGUUGGAUCCUUUCCGGGAUUCAGUGCCGCAGCUAACGCAUUAAGCACUCCGCCUGGGGAGUACGANCGCAAGGUUG